GAGGAGGUCCCAGAGACCAUGGAGACCCCUGCCAUUCCAGCUAAUCAGAAGGAACCAGAGGAGGUCCCAGAGACCAUGGAGACCCCUGCCAUUCCAGCUAAUCAGAAUGAACCAGAGGAGGUCCCAGAGACCAUUGAGACCCCUGCCAUUCCAGCUAAGCAGAACGAACCAGAGGAGUUCCCAGAGACCAUGGAGACCCCUGCCAUUCCAGCU